rnacentral:lncRNA from 1 species
GCCUCCUAGGCUCUCCUUUACCCCCUUUAUGUUACACGAUCGCUCAAAUUGAAGCUCAGGAGGGUCCUAUAGGGAAUGCAUAGGAACCCUGGGAGAAAAAAGCCCCCAACAAGCUAUACACCAGAUGUAUAACGUUAUAUGGUCAAACUGGCAAACACAAAAGCUGAAAAACAAAAGGCGUGAAUUAGGGAGACGCAUUCAAAGGCGUGUUUUCAAAACAGCCCGGCCAAGAGCCUGGAUCCCCCUCCUGAGACUAAAUGCUUGAAAGAAAAGAUUUUGACUCCAAAAGUCCAGGAUGGGGCCUGAGGUUCUGCAUGUCUAACAAUUUCCCAGCUGAUGCCAAAGCUGCUGAUCAGAGUCUACACCUUAAGAAGUUUGAACUCAGUGCUGUUGUGCAGUUGUAUGAACAAGGAAAUUAAAUGUGAAAAAUGGCCAAUCUGUCUAUCCUCUGGGUUCCCUCAACAACGCGGCCUCAUGAAGUACCUGCUGCCAUAUUGACCUCAGUACACACACAGAAGAGCCAAGGGAAUUGCUUCUUUGGGGACUGGAGAUAAGACUCUGAGAAUUUAUAGAAACAAACAUUAGAAGGCAGGAAUGUGGAGAGAAGAAAGCUACCUGACAAGGGAAUCUCAGGAUACAAGGAAAACACCAAGGAAUGUAAAUCUCUGUUUACCACAAGCCCUCUGUCUCCACAAGUUCUGUGUCCAGAACUGAAGGCAGAUCCAAAUACAAUAUUCAUGGGAUGCAAAUUCCCAUGUAUGCCAAGAGAUAACUGCUUUAUUGGAGGCCUAGUGGGGAACUGAAACUCCCACUCCUGCUUAGCAGGAAUGAGAAGCCCCCUUUCAGAGGUCAACAGAAGCUGAGUUAAGAAACCUGAACUUUUACCCUACCUGGCAGUAAUGAAGCGACACCCACCUUCGUCUGUGAGGAUGGUGUGAGAUGAAGGUAGCUAAAACAAAAGGUUUAAAUAAGAUUCAGAGUCUCAUCAUAUUGAAAUGUCCAUAUUUCAGUGGAAAAUUACUCAUCAUACAAAAACAAGAAAGAACUAAAACUAAGUGAGAAAAGAUAAUAAAUAUAUGCCA